rnacentral:rRNA from 1 species
GUUGUGGCUGCAGUCUUGGACUGUGGUUGCGGUGGCGGUCUUCGGUGUACGAUCUACCGAUCUACUUCUGUGCUUUUCUACCUAUCUGGGGGGUCUUGUGGUGGCUUCGGGAGGGGCUUGCGGCCUAUCAGAUAGUUGGUGGGGUAACGGCCUACCAAGUCAUCGACGGGUAGCUGGUCUGAGAGGAUGGUCAGCCGGACUGGGACUGCGAUACGGCCCAG